rnacentral:rRNA from 1 species
AGAUCGGGAUAACAACCUGGAAACAGAUGCUAAUACCGGAUAACAACAGAUGAUGCCUAUCAACUGUUUAAAAGAUGGUUCUGCUAUCACUCUUGGAUGGACCUGCGGUGCAUUAGCUAGUUGGUAGGGUAACGGCCUACCAAGGCGAUGAUGCAUAGCCGAGUUGAGAGACUGAUCGGCCACAUUGGGACUGAGACACGGCCCAAACUCCUACGGGAGGCAGCAGGG